GCGCGUGUAGCUCAGCUGGUCAGAGCAUGCGCUUGAUAAGCGCAGGGUCACUGGUUCAAAUCCAGUCACGCGCA
rnacentral:tRNA from 1 species